rnacentral:lncRNA from 1 species
UAAAGUCUCGCAUCUGUAUGGUUUUGCCAAUUUUACUGCAUUUUUAUCUUGGGUAUUACUGCUUAUGUCUGUUUGUCCGAUGGCUCGUUUUAUUUGACCCUCCUUUUUAAUUGUUACUUUAUUGUCUUUGUGACCGAAUAUGUGGGAGGCCGAUGUCCUCAACAAUAAACUUGCAAAGCAUUAAGAUACCCCUGCCUGUAUGGCAGAAGAACUGUUAGCUUUUAGGUUUAUAGAGACUGGAUUGGGGUACUGUGAAGUUGCAUCAAAUUUACCAAAUGGCGACACCUACUGUCACGCAUCUGAAGCAUUCUCGGAUAGUGCAGGAAUCUGAUCAAAUCUGAUGGGAUAUCAGUAAGCAACAUCUGAUAUAUGAGAUAACUGCAGCUGAUGCAGUGACUGGUAGAGGUGUAGAGCUCACAUGCAGGUCCAAUGAAUAAUGGUGAAGGAUGAUCAUCUUAAAUAUUGUUUUAGGGAAGUCAGUUUUGGCUAUAGUCCGCUUUUUUCUCAAUCAAUAAAUAAGUUUAUAAAGUUAGCAUAAGGUUUGAUGCAGUACCUGCCAACUACUAUGAUAUGGUGAUUGCGAUAGCUUUGGGAAAUUUCCAUAAAGCCUCGGAAGAUAAGUGAAUUGUACAUGGAUUGCCAAAGGAUGUCAGGUUGUUUAACAGAAUAAGGGCUGAUUUUUCCUGGCAGCUGUUGGAGCUGCUAAUGAGAAGUGCUUGAGAAAAGAGAACUUUGAUGUGAAGGAUAGUUUGAUAUUCCACAAUAUUAACUUUAAUGGAAAGCAUUCUACCCAGAAUGGGGUCCUGUGAGUGGAACAUAAUUGACCACUCUUUUUUGUAUGGCUGAAAGUUGAC